GACAGAGGGUGCAAACGUUGCUCGGAAUCACUGGGCGUAAAGGGCGUGUAGGCGGGAAGUAAAGUCAGAUGUGAAAUCCCUGGGCUCAACCCAGGAACUGCAUUUGAAACUCACUUUCUUGAGUACCGGAGAGGAAGGUGGAAUACCUGGUGUAGAGGUGAAAUUCGUAGAUAUCAGGUGGAACACCAGUGGCGAAGGCGGCCUUCCUGGACGGUAACUGACGCUGAGACGCGAAAGCGUGGGGAGCAAACAGG
rnacentral:rRNA from 1 species